rnacentral:misc_RNA from 1 species
GAUGAAGAACGUAGCGAAAUGCGAUACGUAAUGUGAAUUGCAGAAUUCAGUGAAUCAUCGAAUCUUUGAACGCAUAUUGCGCUCUCUGGUAUUCCGGAGAGCAUGCUUGUUUGAGUAUCAGUAAACACCUCAACUUCCAUAUCUUUUUUGAAAUGGGAGUUGGACUUGAGUGAUCCCAACGCUUUUCCUCACCGAAAAGUGGCGGGUUACUUGAAAUGCAGGUGCAGCUGGACUUUUCUCUGAGCUAUAAGCAUAUCUAUUUAGUCUGCCUAAAAAACAGAUUAUUACCUUUGCUGCAGCUAACCUAAAGGAGAUUAGUUCUUGUGCUGACUGAUGCAGGAUUCACAAAGACAGGCUUCGGCCGACUUUGUAAACUCGAUCUCAAAUCAAGUAAGACUACCCGCUGAACUUAAGCAUAUCAAUAAGCGGAGGA